CUGAGCAAAUUAAUUCUUUGAUUUGGUUACUCCAAACCUACUCCCCGAACCUGCUAAUUAACCUGCGCACGUAUAUUAGCCAUAUACAAACCCACAGACAUCUCAGUAUCUUCAUACAUACAGAAACUUACAGCUUAUCCCCUAUCUUCGUUCAGUGUCUAUGUUCAUGUCAACGAAUUAGCAUAUUAAAAUGAUUAUAUCACCACCAAAACCCUUCACCUUUAACGAUCUCUUAGCAAAUUAGUGAUUUUUCUGAAAAUUAGGGAUUUUCAUAGGUAGCAUGCUCGGGAGCAGACCGUGUUCUCUGUUUUCCCACCCAUCACCACCGUAGCGGUCUCAUCCUCUCCUCCAUCACUCUCUUUCAAUCAACCCCACCAAACACUUACCAUACCACGCAGAUUCCGCACUCUUUCCUCAUUUUCUUCAUCUAGGAUUUCUGUCGAGCGCAUUCACUACAAUUCUCAAGUUGAUGAAAUUGCCACAUCAGUUUAUAUUCUUUUCUCUUGUAUAUAAAAAUUUCAAGAUCUGAUGACAGUCAUAUUUUGUGACUUUCAAGGGUCCAUGUUCUGUCCUUCCAGCAGAUAUGUAUGAUUUGACGAAUCCUACAGUGUUUUUGGUUCUUUAAAGGAAGCAAUGCUAUAUGUCGAAGAAAGCAGUAGAAUUGUUGUUUUUUUUUUUUUUUUUUUUUUUUGGGUGGCCAUACACUCAACACAAACUUGCACGUGAAGAGAAUGUAACAGUAAUAAAUUCUGGUUGUGGUGAAAGCUUUUUAGUUCACAAGGUAUGCAUGUUGUACAGACUAAAUAGUCGUGCUUUUUGUCUCUACUCAGGAACAAAAUAUUUUUUUUGUUCAAAUACUAUGUCUGUUCUUUAUUUCUUCCUUUUGGGGUUUAUAAAUAGUUUCUAUAACAUCUCAUAGCAACAGUAAUAUUGAUAUGAAAAUAGGGUAAAUAUCAAGAUGUCAUGAUACAACAAUUUGAUGCUUGUGCAAGUUGGUGGAUGCAAGGACCCGAUGCUGCCUUACAGUUGCACAGGAAAGAAAAUCUAGCACAAACAUAGCCAGCCGUAGAACUGGGACCUCACAAUCGCGCAUUCGUUAUGUAAACUAAAAUGAGUUCUCUUUCUCGGAUUAUUCUUUUUGUUUUUUAAAUGUACUGUCACCAUUAUACUAACAUGAUUUCCUGCACAUACAUGACAGGUAUAUAAAUGGAUGAGGCAACAGUACUGGUUCCAAUUUCAUUUUGCUCUUGCCACUAAGCUAGCAGAUUACAUGGGCAAAGAGCGCAAAGCCGCAAACGCUUGAAAUGUCAGGAUAUAUUUGAAGACAUACAAACAAGGGCUGGUGCCUGUUGAAUCUACAUUUUACAUUUUGACAGAUGCUUAUCUUAGCUCAUCUUCUCAAGGUUACCUGGAGCGAGCAUGCACCAUCUGCAAUGGCAUGAUCGAGCUAGGAUGAUUCAAACCCUGACUUAGUUUGCACAAUUUUCUAUUCAGAGCUCUUGUAAGCAAUCCAGGAGACUCUGCAAAACAUAACUUUAAACAGACAGAAUUGGUUUAUCCCAAUUUGUCGACAUUUGGGCCUGAGAUACACGAGGAUAUAUCUCGUGGUUUAAUUUGGCUACUAAGUCAUCAGGAUGUAUUAGAAAAAGAAAGAAUUGCAUGAUUGAAGCCCCAGAGUAUCUCCAAAAGAAUAAUUAUAUAUAAUUUUAUAGAUUAUAAUUUUUCUUUGUUGCAUUGUA